GAUGGACCCGUCCUCCGGUGCCUACUGAGCUGAUAUCAGUUCUGAUUUUACACACUGGCUCAGUUCAGCAGGAACAGGAGUCGAGCCCUAAA
rnacentral:miRNA from 1 species